rnacentral:rRNA from 1 species
UACGUAGGGGGCAAGCGUUGUCCGGAUUUAUUGGGCGUAAAGAGCGUGUAGGCGGUCAGGUAGGUCCGUUGUGAAAACUCGAGGCUCAACCUCGAGACGCCGAUGGAAACCAUCUGACUAGAGUCCGGAAGAGGAGAGUGGAAUUCCUGGUGUAGCGGUGAAAUGCGCAGAUAUCAGGAAGAACACCCGUGGCUAAGGCGGCUCUCUAGUACGGUACUGACGCUGAGACGCGAAAGCGUGGGGAGCGAAUGGG